UACGGGGGGAGCAAGCGGUUGUUCGGAUUUACUGGGCGUAAAGGGCGCGGUAGGCGGAUCGUGACAAGUCACUUGUGAAAUCUCCGGGGCUUAACUCGGAACGGUCAAGUGAUACUGUCGGACUAGAGUACAGAAGGGGCAACUGGAAUUCUCGGUGUAGCGGUGAAAAUGCGUAGAUAUCGAGAGGAACACCUGCGGCGAAGGCGGGUUGCUGGGCUGAUACUGACGCUGAGGCGACGAAAGCCAGGGGAGCGAACGGG
rnacentral:rRNA from 1 species